rnacentral:rRNA from 1 species
GACGAACGCUGGCGGCGUGCUUAACACAUGCAAGUCGAACGGAAAGGCCCUGCUUGCAGGGUGCUCGAGUGGCGAACGGGUGAGUAACACGUGGGUGAUCUGCCCCUUACUUUGGGAUAAGCCUGGGAAACUGGGUCUAAUACUGGAUAGGACCAUGCUGUAGGUGGUGUGGUGGAAAGAUUAGAUUCGGUAAGGGAUGAGCUCGCGGCCUAUCAGAUUGUUGGUGGGGUAAUGGCCUACCAAGGCGUCGAUGGGUAGCCGGCCUGAGAGGGUGGACGGCGACAUUGGGACUGAGAUACGGCACAGACUACUACGGGAGGCAGCAGUGGGGAAUAUUGCACAAUGAGCGCAAGCCUGAUGCAGCGACGCCGCGUGGGGGAUGACGGCCUUCGGGUUGUAAACUCCUUUCAGCCAUGACGAAGCCCUUGUGGUGACGGUAGUGGUAGAAGAAGCACCGGCUAACUACGUG